rnacentral:misc_RNA from 1 species
GAAAUGCGAUAAGUAAUGUGAAUUGCAGAAUUCAGUGAAUCAUCGAAUCUUUGAACGCACAUUGCGCCUAUUAGUAUUCUAGUAGGCAUGCCUAUUCGAGCGUCAUUUCAACCCUUACGCCUAGCGUAGUGUUGGGAGAUUACCCUGUGGUAACUCCCCAAAACCAUUGGCAGAGUCAGUGAAACCUCUGAGCGCAGUAACUUAUACCACGCUUCUGUAGUGACGCUGGCGCUCGCCACAAAGCCUCUAUUUCUCAAUGGUUGACCUCGGAUUAGGUAGGAAUACCCGCUGAACUUAA